GGGUGAGUAACGCGUAAGUAAUCUACCCUGGCAUCUGGAAUAACUCACCGAAAGGUGUGCUAAUACCGGAUACGUUGAUUUAUCAAGAAAGGUGGCCUCUUCAUGAAAGCUACUGUGCUGGGAGGAGCUUGCGUACCAUUAGCUAGUUGGUGGGGUAAUGGCCUACCAAGGCGACGAUGGUUAGCGGGUCUGAGAGGAUGAUCCGCCACACUGGAACUGGAACACGGACCAGACUCCUACGGGAGGCAGCAGUGAGGAAUAUUGCGCAAUGGGGGAAACCCUGACGCAGCGACGCCGCGUGGAUGAUGAAGGCUUUCGGGUCGUAAAAUCCUGUCAGAUGGGAAGAAAUGCUAUAUGCCUAAUAUGUGUAUAGUUUGACGGUACCAUCAAAGGAAGCACCGGCUAACUCCGUGCCAGCAGCCGCGGUAAUACGGAGGGUGCAAGCGUUGUUCGGAAUUACUGGGCGUAAAGCGCGCGUAGGCGGCUUUUUAAGUCAGAUGUGAAAGUCCACGGCUCAACCGUGGAAGUGCAUUUGAUACUGGGAAGCUUGAGUACUGGAGGGGAUGGUGGAAUUCCCGGUGUAGAGGUGAAAUUCGUAGAUAUCGGGAGGAAUACCGGUGGCGAAGGCGACCAUCUGGCCAGAUACUGACGCUGAGGUGCGAAAGCGU
rnacentral:rRNA from 1 species